GUGGAUCCUUUGUCACUUUUUAAUAAACCACAGAGAGCUGUGCACCUCACACAAAUAAAAAGGUCAGCAUCCAAGGGCGGGCGGAGACCAAGAUUUCUGAAAUUCAGAAAAGUUUGACAAGAUCUUGACAGAUACACAUGCAAAAAUUAAUUCUAGUAGUCUGACUAAUUAGGAAUAGGGCUAUUUUGGAAAGAAAAGCAGGGAAAAGUUCAGAUCCCAAAAAUUGAGGGAAUUAUAAUUAGAAAGAGGCAAAACGGGGUUUUGGUAGAUACAAGUGGUGGGAGAGAAAUUUCGUUUUUUCACUUUCCUCCUCUGCUCCCUUUCCCGGUGUGGUGGAAUCUGUGCUAACAACUGAGGCAGGUAUACACCAAAUGAGUCAGUGGGUCUUUCCUUCCUUCCGUUGUGCAGACUCUUCCAAUCCAAGGACCACACUGGGGUAACAUCCGAGUUGCAUGCUGAGCUCGGGAGUGAAACAGAGCAGUUGGCCUCAGGGUCUACCUUGGGCUCAGGCUCAGCCACUUAAUAAACUGUUACACUUGGUUCACACAAGUUUUUCAGACUUCUCCGCACUGCGUGCCUAUGCCAGAUCUAAGCUAGCAAUAGUGUGCUGUUCACUUCUGUUUCCCUUAACCCCCUGUCUUCCUCGGGAAUCCGAAAGGACCAGCACCUGGGAUGCAGCCACAGAGCUGGUGUUUGUGGAACUGCAGAUCAUGGAGUACAUCAACAUCUGUCCACUUACUGUCUAACCAGAGGACUCUGGAUGGAAAUCUCAGCUCUGUCACUUCAUAGAACUAGAAACGGAGAGGUUCACAGUGAGCCUGACUUGGGGGCGGCAUCUCCGGAGGCCUUUCCAGUCAGUCUCGCUGAGAUCCUGGCGUCACAGCAGCCUCCUCCCGUGGGCACGUUCAGCACAGCACACGCCGGACUCUGCCCUGCCAUUCUGUAUAGGCACAGAUCCCACCUCCUUCACCUCCCCUAACAGUGGCCCUUCCACUUUCAGGGAGCCCUUGCCAUAGCCAGGAUGCAUGAGCCAGGCAGAGUGCAGACUCCUCCCACUACCUCCAACCAGCGAAGAGUGGCCGGGUGACAUUCCCAGAGGCCAGUGUGGGGCUGCAGAGGACAUUGUCAUGAGAUUUAAAGGCAGAAGAAAAUUCUUCCGAAAAUUCUUGACUCUUUGCUGGAUGGUCAACCGUCUGCAUGCAGACUGAAGAACGGAAGGCAAGGGAAGCACUGCUGGACAGCUAUGAGCAGAGCGGUUUUCAGGUCGUGUGCAAGAAACUAGAAGACUAACAGGCAGGUCAGGCCCUGACCACUGACUUAUCGAUCACUCCAACUGGUCCAGGGCAUCAUCAGCUGCUUCAAUGUCACUUCCAAUUGCUGUCAUCAAAGCAGGGAAGGUAAAGCUCAAUGUUGACUGGAUUUCAGCCAUCAAAGGAAAUGUGGCGCUGGAUGCUGCAG